rnacentral:tRNA from 1 species
CGAAACGGUGGAUCGCUUGGGCUUCUUCGGCUUCGUACGCCAGUUGGUAGAAAGACCAGCGGUCCCAAGGUCCGUUCUGCUCGAGCCGCUUCGCC